CCAGGCUCAUCAGAUCUCGAUCUGCUUCAUCUCUCAAAGGACGCCCCAGCCCCGAGAGGAGCCGCCGCCGCCGGGGAACGAGAGGAGCCGCCGCCUCCAGGUCACCGUUGCCCUCGCCCUCGCAUCCAUACCUUCGCCGUCGCCCUCGCGCUCUGAAAUGCCGCCGAUCCGAGACAAGUCGUCGCCGCGAGGAACGAGACGAGCCACCGGCGCCGAGGAACGAGACGAGCUAGGGUUCCAUACGCCGCCGCCGGUAUCUCGCCCCCUCACCAUUCCCAACCACGAACGCCGACGCCGGCUGUAGCCGUCACGCCGCCAGCCAUCCAUGCCUCGUAGCCGUCGCAGCCAGUGCUUCCCCACUGAACGAGCGCCAAGGAGAAACACCGCUGUCUUUCUACAUGGUGGCCGCUCCCCUCGAUCCCCUCCAUCGCCUCCGCCGCCGCCGAGGUACGAGAUCGCCUCCAUCUUGUUCCUUCCCUGGCCACGCCCCUCCCAAUUUCUUCCCCUCAUCCAGCUAGGGUUCUCACCCGCCGCCGCUUCCCUGCUGCUACCCGCCACCGGAUGCCCUCCACGGACACCACCACCAUGAUGGCGGAAUGAAGAGCAAGAGGGGUCGUCGAGGAUGGGUGCCGUCGUGAGGAUGCUGGUGCCCGUGUGCGGUGAUGGCAUUGUGGCGGAAGAAGGUCUUCUUCCUGGGGAGCCGCUACCAGCCUCCGUCUCCACCCGCGGCCAUGCUAAAAAGACAGAUCUCAAUACUUGCUUGCUAAUGUGCAUGUGUGGAUGUUGCUGGUUGCUGCUGCUGUGCACGUCUGCUUGGUGUGCCCCUGCUGUUUUGUGUUCUCACCACCACAUCCACGACAAAUAAAAUUUCUUAGUUUUCUUAGAAUGGUUCAGGUUCGAUAUGUCAGGUCUGAAGUACGCUCCUGAGUUAAAGAAAGACCUCGAGAGACUCUGUAGUGUGUAUGCAGGAACUAAAGACAUGUAUUAGAGAAUGAAGCAUCAAUCCUCUUCUUGCUUAUUGUUUGUCAAAUGCUAUAUUAAAGCACUGUAUCAAUUCCAUUGUUAUUUACACGAAGGGACGGAUUAGGACCUGUGGGAUCAUGGCUCUUUCAGCUUGAACAGUAUUUGUGAUGUAUCCUUCACUUACCGUGCCACGGGGUUGUCGCGGAUAUUGGUGGAGGACUUGGUGGACUAGCGCAAAAUGGAAAUCUAUAAAGAAGUGAAACUAAUCAGCUAUGGUUCUCCUGGAGUAUUUGUGCAACCAGCAGGCCGCCCAUGAGAAAUAUGAUGUUCUUUAUGCAUUUAAAAAACUACUAAAGGGAAAGUUGUGAAUGUUGUAUUGCAGAGCGUAUGCGUCAGAGGCCAGUCGGCAGAGGUGCAUGCAGGUUUGUGCUUGAGGGUGCACGCGAGCCGGCGGCUACAGGCAGAGGGUGCAGCCUGUGUGUGCGUGUUGUGGUCGCCUGAUUUGAUUGUAAAUCGUGUAGAGCAAAGGCGGCUUCUGUGGCGCCGGAGCAACAAUUUCAGUGAGCACAUGGACUUGAUGCAGGGAGGGUCGUCGAAGAGAAGGACGGCGGCCCGGCCUACACAUGAUGGAACACACAUUGCCGACGAUGCGGUACCAGGCCUGGAGAAGAGAUCCCGAGGUGUUUGAUGAAAUGACCUUCGUCCGAAAAUACUUGUCAUCAAAAUGAAUAAAAGGAGAUCACAAUGUUGGACACGACCACCUAAGAAUCAAAUAUUUUUAGUUGGAAUACUAUUUUAAUGAUCAAUCACAAUGUUGGACGCGACCACCUACUUAUUCCCGAGACUUUAAGUCUUUGGUGGCUUACGCACAAUAUGCCCGGCAUAUGUUCUACAUCUGCGGCAUGUAAUGACCCUACUGGCAUUUCAAGAGGUCUGUAAAUACAACACUCUUCCAAAGUAUUUCCAAAUCUGGACAGUUAUUGAGCCUGCAUUGAUGAAAUAGUUGACAAAGAAGGAACUGAAAUGAGGUUAUUGAGGCUGCAUUUAAGAAUUUUGGUUGAUGAGCUGAUAUCUGACCAAAAACUCAAGAACUAGAAGCAAGCCUGACAUCCUUUUUCUGUAAUCGGUAUAUUCUCGGUAGCAAGCCUGUCAUCCUUUUGUAUCCACAUGAGGCUUAGGGGCCGUUUGGAUUAGCACCAACGUCGAUACUAUGAGCAGUGAGCAAGUCAUGUAUAAAGCAAAAACAAAAUAUUGGUCUGCUAUCAAAUGGUACAUUUAUUUGAACUCUAAGGGCAGGUUCAGGGUCUCAUGAAGAGGGCAUGUGUUUGUAUUAGGUGAGAUCUGAACUGAUUCUGACUAAUGUGAAAUUAAUUUUGUUGUUGAUGGAUCUGCAAUUAUUUAUGUGCACAGAAGUGCCGUAGUUGAGAAGCCUGAGAAGAAUAUAUCACUUAGGUACAGAUUCGAGCUAGGGUUUUUCAUUUUCUCCUUCCAAUCCAUUUAUUAUGCGAUAAUUUGCCCAUAAAAGACAUACAUGAUGGUCGUCGUUGGACAGAUUAUAUUUGUUUACUUCUACCCAUAAAUUUAAAGUCCUGAACAUGUAUAUUACACAUCUCUUGCAGGAUAUAUUAAUAUUAAACUAUGUGUGCGUUCCACUGCAUUCAUCUAUUUAAGGCAUGAUAUUUGUAAGCUUGGUUCAGGCUGCCGCGCAUCUAUCUAUAUAAUGCACAAUAUUUCUAUGCUUGGUUCAGGUUGUUUCCGACAACCAUUGGCAAUCUGUCCCUAUGUCAUUCCUCUUAUAUAUACAUAAGAACUGUCUACACAGAUCAGAGUGUGUGUAUGAGGGUCGUUUCCAUUUGUGUUCUGUUCCCUUUAUUGUUUUAUCAAUGUAAAACCCUUGAAAAAUUAUCCAUUCCUUUUUCACAGAUCAGAAGGUUUUGCAGUUGACAAGCUUACAGGUUUGAGCACCCCAAACAACGGGGUGGGCCCUUUGACCUGUGGGUUCUGCUGGUACCAAGAGAAGGAGGUUCCUUUUAACCUGCAGGAGCUCUGCCAAUGGCAGCGUGCUUUCCUUGACAAUGAUGUGGUACUGCACGUACACAACAUGCAGCAAGUGAAAUCGGCGCAAGAGGGCAUCUUGCAAGCAGCACCAAAUCCUAUAUUAUGGGACCGAGUGAGUAUCUCAAAGAAGAAAUAAUUUUUUUGAUGUAGGAAUAUCUGUAGGCUGAUUAUGCUUUGAUGUAUAGAUCGCAGUAGCACUUAGAUAAAAUAUAAGUUCUUAGCCAGUUCAAUAGUACUUUUGUCGAACAAAGCUCAAUUGACAUUACGCGAAAACCUUGAGAAUACCUGAGGGGACAAGGCAAGUGUUGUUUGUAAUGACUUGUGUUAUGAUAUUGCAAAAUAGAUUAGACGGAAAAGUACAUAGCAUUGCCAUGGAAUAUUUAAUACUUUUAGAUCUGCCUGUUCA